AUCAGCUGUUUUAGUUUCUGUCAGCUUUGUGUUCUUGACUGUUUAGCGCCAUCUAGUGUCUGAAUAAUGUGCAGGUUAGUGUAUACUCCAUCAGCUGUUUUAGUUUCUGUCAGCUUUGUGUUCUUGACUGUUUAGCGCCAUCUAGUGUCUGAAUAAUGUGCAGGUUAGUGUAUACUCCAUCAGCUGUUUUAGUUUUCUGUCAGCUUUGCAUUUAAUUAAAGAUUUAAAAAAAUAUUAGGACUCAGAACAGCAUUUUUUGUCAAGUAUUUUUGUAAUAAGUUGGAUAAAGUGCAUCCAGGUGGUUAUUGCAGAAUAAAACCAUUCAGUC
rnacentral:lncRNA from 1 species